ACCUGGGUGGCUCAGUCGGUUGAGCAUCUGACUUUGGUUCAGGUCAUGAUCUUACGGUUUGUGGGUUCAAGCCCCUCGUUGGGCU
rnacentral:tRNA from 1 species